UUGUAGACGGACACGGAGCUCCAUCGGAUGGUGAUAAAUGUGGAAUCCAGCACAAACAGUUUGAACCAGUCAGGCCGUGAUUGAUCAGCGCCCUCUGGGAUGUCAGUUUUCCCACUUCUUCAUCAUCCUCAAUCGUUUUCUCAAAGCAUUUGCUCCGGAGAUUUACACUUGCAGUUGAUAGAAAAAAGAAGAAGAAGAAGAAGAAGAAGAAGAAAAAAAUCAAGCAGCAGAGUGAGCUCUGCUGGUAAUUCAGGUUUGGUGUGUGGUAUUUCAUUGAGGUCCUCUCUGAUUGUCCUACAGUCGCGAUGAAUGUGACUCUUGGAAGCAAAAGGUGUAUCAGUUGGGAUCACUCGGCAUCUGGCCCAACGCUCUUGUGUCACAGUGACCCUCCUGUCGGGGCGAAGCAGCGAGGGCCACAGCAGGGGGUCUCCCCUGGAAAGCAACAUAAAUUUCAGAGAGAGAAUCAAUAGACUGUGAGAAUUGUGAGAGCUGCAUUGGUUUGGACUCUGUGGCUGUGAUCCAGGUGCUUUUGCUGUAUGAAUAUCUGAGGAUGCACAUGUGAUUUUUAACCAAUAAAAAAGAGCACCUAUAAUCACAUUUUGAGAUACCCUCCAAAACAAAACAAAAAAACAUACCAGUGGAACCUACUCUCCCAUAGGACGUAAAUACAGCCGUUGCUCUCCAUAUAGAAGUAAGGACGCUCUGUGGGGUGUAGACUUCAAAGCAAACCAGGGAAUACUCCAGAACAACUGCUGGCAGUUUCAAAUCAGCAUCCCGGCUGUCGGCAGCGUAACCUUCCACCUGUCUCUGGCAUGAGAUAACUGGAGAAGAAAAUGUCCAAUUUGAAACAGCAUGUGUCAAGAAGCGGGGAGAUUAUUUGUUCAAUUUGGAAUCUAAAUACAUUCAUUUAUGUUUGUAGCAAAUGGUCUGGAGAAAUAGAAGUUGUAUAUAGUACAAAAGAAAAAAAGGAAAACGUUCAGUCCAGACACUGGAAUUCACUUGAGGAAAGGACAAUGACAGCUGAUCAGGCUUCAAAAGUGCUGUCAUUUGCCACUUGGUAGGAAGUGAAAAUGAACAUGUAAGAGUCGAAAGGCCACAAAACACAUCAACAAUUUUACCCUAAUUUUUUUUUUUAAAAGCACAACAAAACAGUAAAUCCAUCCUGUUUUACUUUGGACAAACACACGUCUGCUGCAUUUGUUAGUUUUAGUUUCUCAAAACCAGAUAGAUGAAUUAAUUGUGAAGCAAACAAAGAGACGGGAAGAUAGCCUUAAGCCUAUUGAGUAGGAACAUGGGGUGAGUGUGGCAUUGUGUCUUUGAUGGAAUCGGCCUGUGGUGCAUUGUGGGUAGUGGCGUGCUCUCUGGCCGCAGCAGGGUACUGGCGGCUGUGUCCACUUUUCAGGUGCUGUCACCCUCCCCUUGGUCAUAUUAAUUAAAGGAUAAAAAUGAAAAGAGGAGAAGAAAAACCAAGGUUUAAUCCCUCGGCUUUUAUGGAGCUGGAACACUUCUAAAGUCUGCACUUUUUGAACAAAACUGCAAAGACACACAAUGACACACAGUCAAAGUGUAGAGUAAAUGCGUGUCCAACAUUGCUUCAUUUAGUUAGUUUCCUUAGCAUUGGAGUUGGGUCUAAUGUUUUGGGUAUCUUUUCACAUGCUGCUCACAGUAACACCAUUCUAGCUCUGCCAAAUUUGUCACAUGCAGCCAUUGUCGUUAAAGAUGAGGUGUGUAACGUUAAUAAAAAAUGUUUUUUACAUGUCUAUUAAAACUGUCACUAUUUUGUGACAAAAUCGCAUAAGAUAGGUAGUCUGUGAAAAAAUUGAAGUCUACCUUCUCCCUGUGGUCCUACUGCCAUGUGCAGAAACACACCACUCCCAGUCAAAGAUAACCAGUCAGAGCCAGGAGGGAAGAUUUUAUCUCUGUCAAUCAUGUUUGUGUAUGCAAUGCAGCUGUGCUAAUAGCAGAGAAACAAUUUAACUUUACAGGAAAACUGUUUAUUUCCUGCCAUUAAUGCCAUGCUAACUAGCCUGUACAUUCAUUGCAAGCACCGUUGUGGGAAAAGAGCUGUAGUUUUGCAGAGAGCGUGGAGCACAGAGGGCAGUGUGUGUAGUGCAUACAUGAUAGUGAUUGACAAGGGACCCUCCCUCUGACUUUGGUUGUUUCUGAUAGGAUGCUGUAUUUCUACAGAUGGCAGUAGGACCUCAGGGGGAGAGGCAGAGGAGCUCUAUUUUUUUCCCCACAGAUUAUCUGUCUCAUAUUAUACUGUCAUGUUUUACAACAUUUCUUUAACGAUAAAAGUUAAAUACUGCAACUUGGUACCUUGUUUGGCAGCAAGAUUAGGUUGAUUUUAAAAACUAAUUUGUGCCCAAGUUUGCACUUCCUGACUGAUUCUUCGCAUAAUGCUCUUUUCUUGUGAUGUCAGCUAUUGCAUUAAGUGCACCAGUCCCUCCUGCAGCAAAACACCCACAGUACAUGAUGUGACCAGCCCCAUACAAGAUGUAUUAAUUCUGAAUGUUAUUAUGCCUGAAAGCACAUUUGUUCAGAUGGACAGUCCUCUACCCUGUGAAGCCUCCCUCACCCACUGAAGGGUUACAGAAGACUGUCACCCCCAACCAUCCUCUUGCCUUCUGACUGUCAUCCAGUAUUUUCUGUGUAAUCAGAUCUCAGGCCUUGUGCUAUAUGGGAGAAAACAGCCACUGGAGAUUGGCAGCCUACAACAGGUUUUAUGGCUGUUGUUUCAGGUGGGAGGUGAGUUAGUUGGGAAGAAUGGAUGGAUGAGUGUCAGAGAGAUUUUACACUGCCCUCUUGUGCUCUGAAACAUACUGUACUGCUUCCCCACUGUUCAUUCUGACUCAUUUUUGCUGUGUCCCUGGUGCAGUAAUGACAGGAGGAACAAAGAGCACUGCAGUUACAUUUUCUGUGAAACUACUUUCAAAUUAUGACUCAGAAAGCAAGGUGACGCUUUUUUUCUUCCAAAUUUCCAAUAUACAAAGCACCAUUACUCAAAAAUAGUUUUUACAUGUUGUCUCAGUACAAGUACAAACUUGAGAAAAAUGUCAUGCAUUUGUAUUUACCUUCACUUUUCACUUUGUACAAUAAAAUUUUCUAUCUACCAGCUUUGCACAUGUGAAGAUGGACUAGUUCAAGCUCAGAUUGGAUGGAGAGCAUUUUAAUUUUAAGGCGCCUCACAAAUUUGCAAUUUAAUGUAGCAUUACUGCCGCCACCUUAUUUUACCAUGCAAAAUUAGUUUUCAGCCAAAUGUGCUAUAUUAUAUGUAGAUAAAAUGGUAUAUAUAUAUAUAUAUAUAUAUAUAUACAGUAUAUGUUUUAUCUCACCCAAUAAGCACACCGUUUUUUUAGUUUUUAUUUUGUACAAAAGAAUUAUAUCAUGUGUAUUUCCUUCCGCUUAACAAUGAGGUGCUAUUUUAUGUUGAUCUGUCACAUCCCAAUAAAAAUACAUUGGAGUUUGUAGUUGAAAUUUGACGCGAUGUGAAAAACUUCAGUUUACAUUUGUGUAAAAUGUAGUGAAAAAAAUCAUAUAUUUAUCAAAAAUAAAAGAAGGCACCUGAAUACGCUUUUAUAGUAAGCCUGACUGAACACUGUAGAUAUUCUGAGCUGCACUCUUCCUGCUCUGUCACAUGUCAAAAGGAUAGAGAGGAGGGUGAGGAGAAAUAAUUGUUUGAUCUGUCCUUUUGCCUGUCGCUGCCCUAAUCACUCAAGACUGAUUCAGAAAAUGCAGGCUUGAAUGUCAGAGGGCCUCCUGUGGAGAGGUGGAGCAUUUCACUAGCUUUGGACAGCCGUGCCCCGGUAAUCACCACUCUCAAACCUGGCCGGGCACUCCAGCACUCCCCUGAUUGAGCACCUCAAUCUAACAAGGUGCUAUUGCCAGAGCCAGAGAUUCUGCCAGGUUUUGACAAACCGGUGGAUUGUCGUCCGAUCAUCAUGGGACAUUGCCUUUUUUUUCGCAGCUCAGCCAUGCAUGCAGCUGGCGGUUCAGAGAUAGAGAGAGCUACUGCAGAGGAAAUUCAACUUAAGCAUCAAAGUCAACGUCCCUGAAAAAAUUUGAUAAUUCUACAUCAUUCAAAGGAUACAAAGGCUUAUCUUAUGUCAUAUUGAACUGACAAGUCAUUUCUUGAAAUCCACUUCAUGUUGCCCAUGUGAUUUGAGUCUGCUAUCGUGCUCCGUCUGACCUUGCUUCUGUGUGUGACACCAGGGCUCUCCCUGUGGGAAAACACAGCCGAACCUCAACCAGAUAGGUACAUUUACCUUUAACCUCCAACGUUUUCCUCUGGAGACAUAAAUAAUUAGAGUCAAAACAGUUUCUUUUUUUCGUCAGUCUACAAAAUAUCUAAUUGCUUCAUUAUAAAAACACUUAAAGCCUCUGAAAUAUGAAUAUUAUUUGUUAUUGCUCAAAAAGUUUCAUUAACAAAACUUUUAAUAAUGAUAGUUAACUAAUAUUCCUCAUAAACCAAAAUAUAUUUUUUAUAAAUUUUAGCUUUGUAAUUUCAACAAACUGGCUGGUUGGAAGCAUUUGGAUGGCACUCACCUUGUAAUAGUAAAUGUAAUAUAUCUUUAAGCUGGACUAGAAGAUCUAAGAACAAAUUUAAAAUAAACUUUAUUAUUUUAAAUUUGUAUUUAAAUUAUUUUUAAAUACGACCAGAGGUGACAUUACACUGUGUGUGAGAGCAGUUGCUCCAUUGAAAUCUUAAAUGUACUUGACUAUGUUAAAUAAGUGAGCUUAAUCUACUGUUUGAUAACCAGCAUUAACUGGAUUGUAUUUCUUAUUAAAUUAACUUCUUUUGUAAAA